rnacentral:tRNA from 1 species
GCUUCCUUGGUGUAGUCGGUUAUCACGUCGGUCUCAUAUUUCAUCGAGUAUGACUGUUCAUAGAACAGAAAUCCGAAGGCCGCCAGUUCGAAUCUGGCAGGGAGCA